UGGGGAAUUUUGGACAAUGGGGGAAACCCUGAUCCAGCCAUCCCGCGUGUGCGAUGAAGGCCUUCGGGUUGUAAAGCACUUUUGGCAGGAAAGAAACGUCAUGGGUUAAUACCCCGUGAAACUGACGGUACCUGCAGAAUAAGCACCGGCUAACUACGUGCCAGCAGCCGCGGUAAUACGUAGGGUGCAAGCGUUAAUCGGAAUUACUGGCGUAAAGCGUGCGCAGGCGGUUCGGAAAGAAAGAUGUGAAAUCCCAGAGCUCAACUUUGGAACUGCAUUUUUAACUACCGGGCUAGAGUGUGUCAGAGGGAGGUGGAAUCCCGCGUGUAGCAGUGAAAUGCGUAGAUAUGCGGAGGAACACCGAUGGCGAAGGCAGCCUCCUGGGAUAACACUGACGCUCAUGCACGAAAGCGUGGGGAGCAAACAGG
rnacentral:rRNA from 1 species